rnacentral:rRNA from 1 species
GUGAUGUAUGGAGCAGUCUGACCAGCCAUGCCGCGUGAAGGAUUAAGGUCCUCUGGAUUGUAAACUUCUUUUAUCUGGGACGAAAAAAGGCGAUUCUUCGUCACUUGACGGUACCAGAUGAAUAAGCACCGGCUAACUCCGUGCCAGCAGCCGCGGUAAUAACGGAGGGUGCAAGCGUUAUCCGGAUUCACUGGGUUUAAAGGGUGCGUAGGAGGGUAGGUAAGUCAGUGGUGAAAUCCUGGAGCUUAACUCAAGAACUGCCAUUGAUACU